GAGAGAAAGAGAGUUAAUUUAGUCUCUGAUGGGUCUUUGCUUGCUUGAAGAAACAGUCUAAGGAGCCUCUGUUCUGAUCUUGUUUCGUUGAGAUCUCAGUCUCCAUGGACAAAUUCUCUCCCAGUUCUCCCCCUCUGAUCUUAUGGAAAUCCCGGAAGAGAUCAGCUGCUGUGCGUCUAUCGGAUGAGAGCCUCAAGGUACCAACCAAUAAUUCAAAGCAAUCAAUGGAGAUAGAUGUGCCGUC
rnacentral:misc_RNA from 1 species